rnacentral:rRNA from 1 species
GUUCACUGCCAUACCACCCUGAACACACCUGAUCUACUCUGAUCUCAUAAAUUAAGCAGGUCAGGCAUGGUUACUGCUUGGGAAGUAGCAUCUUUCGUACCUCAGUCAGAGUUAGUU